rnacentral:rRNA from 1 species
CCUACGGGAGGCAGCAGUGGGGAAUUUUGGACAAUGGGCGCAAGCCUGAUCCAGCCAUGCCGCGUGCGGGAAGAAGGCCUUCGGGUUGUAAACCGCUUUUGUCAGGGAAGAAAAGGUUCUGGCUAAUACCUGGGACUCAUGACGGUACCUGAAGAAUAAGCACCGGCUAACUACGUGCCAGCAGCCGCGGUAAUACGUAGGGUGCAAGCGUUAAUCGGAAUUACUGGGCGUAAAGCGUGCGCAGGCGGUUAUGCAAGACAGAGGUGAAAUCCCCGGGCUCAACCUGGGAACUGCCUUUGUGACUGCAUAGCUAGAGUACGGUAGAGGGGGGAUGGAAUUCCGCGUGUAGCAGUGAAAUGCGUAGAUAUGCGGAGGAACACCGAUGGCGAAGGCAAUCCCCUGGACCUGUACUGACGCUCAUGCACGAAAGCGUGGGGAGCAAACAGGAUUAGAUACCCUGGUAGUCCACGCCCUAAACGAUGUCAACUGGUUGUUGGGAGGGUUUCUUCUCAGUAACGUAGCUAACGCGUGAAGUUGACCGCCUGGGGAGUACGGCCGCAAGGUUGAAACUCAAAUGAAAUUGACGG